rnacentral:rRNA from 1 species
AUUGAACGCUGGCGGCAUGCCUUACACAUGCAAGUCGAACGGUAACAGGUCUUCGGAUGCUGACGAGUGGCGAACGGGUGAGUAAUACAUCGGAACGUGCCUAGUAGUGGGGGAUAACUACUCGAAAGAGUGGCUAAUACCGCAUGAGAUCUAAGGAUGAAAGCAGGGGAUCGCAAGACCUUGUGCUACUAGAGCGGCCGAUGGCAGAUUAGGUAGUUGGUGGGAUAAAAGCUUACCAAGCCGACGAUCUGUAGCUGGUCUGAGAGGACGAUCAGCCACACUGGGACUGAGACACGGCCCAGACUCCUACGGGAGGCAGCAGUGGGGAAUUUUGGACAAUGGGCGCAAGCCUGAUCCAGCAAUGCCGCGUGCAGGAUGAAGGCCUUCGGGUUGUAAACUGCUUUUGUACGGAACGAAAAGCCCUGGGUUAAUACCCUGGGGUCAUGACGGUACCGUAAGAAUAAGCACCGGCUAACUACGUGCCUGCAGCCGCCGCCGUAA